rnacentral:rRNA from 1 species
GAUGAACGCUGACAGAAUGCUUAACACAUGCAAGUCUUUGGCGAAGCUGUGCUUGCACAGCCUAGCCAAGGCGGACGGGUGAGUAACGCGUAAGGAACUUGCCCUGCAGUCAGGGAUAACAGACGGAAACGACUGAUAAGACCUGGUAAAGUCAGGCGGACUCAUGUCCAGCCUGAUGAAAAGAGAUGCUGCAGGAGAGCCUUGCGUCCUAUUAGCUUGUUGGUGGGGUAACGGCCCACCAAGGCGAUGAUAGGUAGCCGGCCUGAGAGGGUGGACGGCCAAGAGGGGACUGAGAUGCGGCCCUUACUCCUACGGGAGGCAGCAGUGGGGAAUAUUGGACAAUGGGGGCAACCCUGAUCCAGCAAUUCUGUGUGCACGAUGAAGGUUUUCGGAUUGUAAAGUGCUUUCAGCAGGGAAGAAAAAAAUGACGGUACCUGCAGAAGAAGCGACGGCUAAAUACGUG